UGGGGAAUUUUGGACAAUGGGCGAAAGCCUGAUCCAGCCAUGCCGCGUGCAGGAUGAAGGCCUUCGGGUUGUAAACUGCUUUUGUACGGAACGAAAAGGUCUUUUCUAAUAAAGAAGGCUCAUGACGGUACCGUAAGAAUAAGCACCGGCUAACUACGUGCCAGCAGCCGCGGUAAUACGUAGGGUGCAAGCGUUAAUCGGAAUUACUGGGCGUAAAGCGUGCGCAGGCGGUUAUAUAAGACAGAUGUGA
rnacentral:rRNA from 1 species